UACGUAGGUGGCAAGCGUUGUCCGGAUUUAUUGGGUUUAAAGGGUGCGUAGGCGGCCUUGUAAGUCAGUGCUGAAAUACCCCGGCUUAACCGGGGGGGUGGCAUUGAUACUGCAGGGCUUGAGUACAGAUGAGGUAGGCGGAAUUGACGGUGUAGCGGUGAAAUGCAUAGAUAUGUCAUAGAACACCGAUUGCGAAGGCAGCUCACAAAACUGAGAUUGACGCUGAUGCACGAAAGCGUGGGGAUCAAACAGG
rnacentral:rRNA from 1 species